UCAAGCGAAUAAGAGCGUAGGGUGGAUGCCUUGGCACUAAGAGCCGAUGAAAGACGUGAUAAGCUGCGAAAAGCUUCGGGGAGGAGCAAAUAUCCUUUGAUCCGGAGAUAUCUGAAUGGGGAAACCCGGCUGAGCAAACCUCAGUCACUGCAUGGUGAAUCCAUAGCCAUGCAGAGGGAACCCGGUGAACUGAAACAUCUAAGUAGCCGGAGGAAGAGAAAGAAACAUCGAUUCCCAAAGUAGCGGCGAGCGAAAUGGGAAGAGCCCAAACCAGCGUGCGUGCAUGCUGGGGUUAAGGACUGCAAACGUGAACCGAUUUGUUAGUGGAACUGUCUGGGAAGUCAGGCCAUAGAGGGUGAAAGCCCCGUACACGAAAACAAUAGGAAGCAGCAGGAUCCAGAGUACCACGAGACACGAGAAACCUUGUGGGAAGUCGGAGGGACCACCCUCCAAGGCUAAAUACUCCUUAGUGACCGAUAGCGCAUAGUACUGUGAAGGAAAGGUGAAAAGGACCCCGGGAGGGGAGUGAAAAAGAACCUGAAACCCUGUGUUUACAAGCUGUGGAAGCACGUUAAGGUGCGACCGCGUACUUUUUGUAGAACGGUCCGGCGAGUUGCCGGUACUGGCAAGGUUAAGAGCUGAAGGCUCGGAGCCGAAGGGAAACCAAGUCUCAAAUGGGCGUCAAGUCAGUACAGGCAGACCCGAAACCGGGUGACCUAUCCAUGUCCAGGUUGAAGCGGAAGUAAAAUUCCGUGGAGGACCGGAUCCACAUCCGUUGAAAAGGGUGGGAAUGAGGUGUGGAUAGGGGAGAAAUUCCAAUCGAACCCGGAGAUAGCUGGUUCUCCUCGAAAUAGCUUUAGGGCUAGCCUCAUAUUAGUUUAGCGGAGGUAGAGCACUGAAUUCCUAAGGGGGCGUCAAAGCUUACCAAGGGAUAUCAAACUCCGAAUGCCGCAUAAAUGAUGUAUGGGAGUCAGACUGCACGAGAUAAGUUGGGUAGUCAAAAGGGAAAGAGCCCAGACCUACAGCUAAGGUCCCAAAGUGUGUGUUAAGUGGAAAAGGAUGUGGGAUUUCAAAGACAACUAGGAUGUUGGCUCAGAAGCAGCCAUACAUUCAAAGAGUGCGUAAUAGCUCACUAGUCGAGAGGUCCUGCGCCGAAAAUGUCCGGGGCUAAAACACAACACCGAAGCUAAGGAAUGGUAACAUUGGUAGAGGAGCAUUCUUAAUGAGAAGAAGCUGUACCGUAAGGAGCAGUGGAUUAUUAAGAAGAGAGAAUGCCGGAAUGAGUAGCGAGAUUUAAGUGAGAAUCUUAAAGGCCGAAUAUCUAAGGUUUCCAGGGUAAAGCUGAUCUGCCCUGGGUAAGUCGGGACCUAAGGCGAGGUCGAAAGACGUAGUCGAUGGACAACAGGUUGAAAUUCCUGUACUGCAUAAUGACAGAACUGUGGGGACACGGGCAGAAAGUCUGAGCCGGAAAUGGAAAAGCCGGUGCAAGCGAAGGAGCCGUGUGGGAGGAAAAACCCCCAUGCAAGGCAGAAGCGUGACGCGGAGCGAAAUCAAGUAGCGAAGCAGACAGGCUGGCCGUCAAGAAAAGCCGCUAUUGUUCAUUAUGUACCCGUACCGUAAACCGACACAGGUGGAUGAGGAGAGAAUCCUAAGGCCGACGGAAGAAGUAUUGUUAAGGAACUCGGCAAAAUGACCCCGUAACUUCGGGAGAAGGGGUGCCUGGGAAACCAGGCCGCAGAGAAUUGGUCCAAGCAACUGUUUAACAAAAACACAGGUUUAUGCAAAACCGCAAGGUGAAGUAUAUGAGCUGACGCCUGCCCGGUGCUGGAAGGUUAAGAGGAGAUGUCAGAGCAAUCGAAGCAUUGAAUUCAAGCCCCAGUAAACGGCGGCCGUAACUAUAACGGUCCUAAGGUAGCGAAAUUCCUUGUCGGGUAAGUUCCGACCCGCACGAAAGGCGUAAUGAUUUGGACGCUGUCUCGACAAUACAUCCGGUGAAAUUGAAGUACCAGUGAAGAUGCUGGUUACCUGCGCCAGGACGGAAAGACCCCAUGGAGCUUUACUCCAGCUUGAUACUGGGAUUCGAUAUUGCAUGUACAGGAUAGGUGGGAGGCUAAGAAAUGGAGACGCCAGUCUU
rnacentral:rRNA from 1 species